GAUGGUUAGCUCAAUUGGUAGAGCGCUCCACCUGUAAUGGAGAGGUCCCGGGUUCGAUACCCGGACCAGGCG
rnacentral:tRNA from 1 species